CAGCAGCCACGGUAAUACGUAGGGUGCGAGCGUUAAUCGGAAUUACUGGGCGUAAAGCGUGCGCAGGCGGUUGUGUAAGACAGGUGUGAAAUCCCCGGGCUUAACCUGGGAACUGCGCUUGUGACUGCACAGCUAGAGUAUGGCAGAGGGGGGUGGAAUUCCACGUGUAGCAGUGAAAUGCGUAGAGAUGUGGAGGAACACCGAUGGCGAAGGCAGCCCCCUGGGCCAAUACUGACGCUCAUGCACAAAAGCGUGGGGAGCAAACAGGAUUAGAUACCCGGGUAGUCCCUGUCUCUUAUAC
rnacentral:rRNA from 1 species